AUAAACGCUGAAAGCAUCUAAGCGUGAAGCCCCCCUCAAGAUGAGAUUUCCCAUUUCUUCGGAAAGUAAGAUCCCUGAAAGAUGAUCAGGUAGAUAGGUUUGGAGUGGAAGUGUAGCGAUACAUGGAGCGGACAAAUACUAAUCGAUCGAGGACUUAACCAA
rnacentral:rRNA from 1 species